UAGAGUUUGAUCCUGGCUCAGAUUGAACGCUGGCGGCAUGCCUAACACAUGCAAGUCGAACGGCAGCACAGCAGAGCUUGCUCUGUGGGUGGCGAGUGGCGGACGGGUGAGUAAUGCAUCGGGACCUACCUCAACGUGGGGGAUAACGUAGGGAAACUUACGCUAAUACCGCAUACGUCCUACGGGAGAAAGCAGGGGACCUUCGGGCCUUGCGCGGUGAGACGGACCGAUGUGCGAUUAGCUAGUUGGUAAGGUAAUGGCUUACCAAGGCGACGAUCGCUAGCUGGUCUGAGAGGAUGAUCAGCCACACUGGAACUGAGACACGGUCCAGACUCCUACGGGAGGCAGCAGUGGGGAAUAUUGGACAAUGGGCGCAAGCCUGAUCCAGCAAUGCCGCGUGUGUGAAGAAGGCCUUCGGGUUGUAAAGCACUUUUAUCAGGAACGAAAUACUACGGGUUAAUAACCUGUGGGGCUGACGGUACCUGAGGAAUAAGCACCGGCUAACUUCGUGCAGCAGCCGCGGUAAU
rnacentral:rRNA from 1 species